GAUAGUCUACAAUGGUCGAAAGAUUGAUAGUGGGACGCCGCGUGAACGAGGAAGCACUUUCGGUGUGUAAAGUUCUUUUCUAUGGGAGCAG
rnacentral:rRNA from 1 species